UUUGGGAAGUGAUGAACAAUUCAUUUCAGAUAUCCUUUAUGGGUUUAUCAAUAAGAUGAAAAAUUGCACGUCAGUCUGAUCCCAUA
rnacentral:snoRNA from 1 species